GAGCCACGCUGUGCCUCUGCCCCACCCUCCCUCUUGAGCGCUUGCCGUGCGCAGAGCGGCGUCCCGAGCGCCCGCAAGGAGCCGGGAGAAUUUGGAAGUCAUCCACCAGUCCCCCAAUUGCUGCUACCGGUUCCUGAAGAAGAACAUCACCCACCUGGUCAGGGGCUACAAGCUAACGGCCUCCUCGUGCCCCGAGAUGGCAGUGCAGUUCACGCUGAAGGGGGGGAAGACGUUCUGCGGCAAACUCCAAGAUGACUGGGUCCAGAAAUUCGUGAAGGAGGCGGAGGACAUGAGAAGGAACAAGCACAGCGCUGACAGAGGGUGAAGCACAGCGGCCGAAUCCUCUCCCUGGGCCUCGGGCGAGGGGAUGGGCCAGUACGAGACCAUUAUAUUUAUGGUACCGCCUGCGCCGUUCCCUCUCCCCCCAACCCGGCUGGCUGGACCCAGCCAAGGCCCCCACCUGGGUGCUUCGGUGAUUUAAGCUACAGAUUUUAAGCUCCAGAAAUAAAGGCAGCGGAAGAAUGGUCUAUC